rnacentral:rRNA from 1 species
CCUACGGGUGGCAGCAGUGAGGAAUAUUGGUCAAUGGGCGCGAGCCUGAACCAGCCAAGUCGCGUGAAGGAUGACUGCCCUACGGGUUGUAAACUUCUUUUAUCAAGGAAUAAAGGGCGGCACGUGCGCCCUUUUGUAUGUACUUUAUGAAUAAGGACCGGCUAAUUCCGUGCCAGCACCCGCGGUAAUACGGAAGGUCCGGGCGUUUUCCGGAUUUAUUGGGUUUAAAGGGAGCGUAGGCCGGUCUUUAAGCGUACCGUGAAAUUUUGUGGCUCAACCAUGAGAGUGCGGCGCGAACUGGAGACCUUGAGUGCGCGGAAGGCAGGCGGAAUUCGUGGUGUAGCGGUGAAAUGCUUAGAUAUCACGAAGAACCCCGAUUGCGAAGGCAGCCUGCCGCAGCGUUACUGACGCUGAAGCUCGAAAGCGCGGGUAUCGAACAGGAUUAGAUACCCGAGUAGUC